UUGUGCUAGGCGGGGAGUUAGCGGUGCCCUUUUCCCGAAAUCCGCUUCAUGCGGGGCUGAAUUCCCUCUAAAGGGUUUUCAUUCCGAAAAAUUGCAGGUCAUCCUGAUCGGACACCGUGCAACAGACGGUCGUGAACCUCGUCAGGUCCGAAAGGAAGCAGCGAUAAGCGAUGCGGUCUGUGUCGCGAAUCGAUCCCGGUCAAUUUUUUGGCUUAUGUUUUUCUGAAAAAGAUUCGAUAGGGGGUGCACAA
rnacentral:SRP_RNA from 1 species